CACACACACGCAUAUGCUCACCCCUUCGCAGACGUCGUCUUCCCGCCUGAGUCGGGAGCAGGCUCGCGUCAGAAGCUUGUAGCGCCAGGCCACCUCCCUGAGGAAUGGCUUCACGCAACUCAGGACCUUCGCUGACAGAACACUGUCCGACAUGCGAGGCGAGUGCGCCGCUGCAGACCAGCUGUUCCGUGCGGCCUGUCACCAUCUCGAGGCCCGGGCCACACAGGAGAGCAGUUCCAGUGGCGCGGAGGUUUCGGUGCUGGAGCAGAAGCUGAAGGACAAGCUACGGGAGACCAUGCAGUGCUGGGAUGCGGAAAAACUGGAACUCGAUUCCAGACCAUGGAGCUGACGGAUGCAGUGAAGCAACUCCGCAGCCAAAACAGUAAGAAGGACGCUUGCCUGGACAGAAUGGAGACGAGCAGAAGCAAAGACAAAGGAGAGAUGGAAGUCCUCCAGGCUGAGAACCAAGCCCUUCAGAAAGUACUCAGCAAAAUUCAUCAGGUCAGAACAUAAAGUGUUCAUUGUGUACAAAUAUCCACAGUCUAACAAUGUCCACAAUGAAUCUCCAGCUGGUGUCAA